GAAAAUCUAUUUUUCCAAACAUUUAUGAGAUGAUGCUGUAUUGCAAUCGCUUCUAGCUGAAUUGUGAGUCCGUGGAAAGACACCACAAAGCGAUUGAAAUAACAUUAAUAGAAGCACUUUAUGUUUUAGUUGUGCCAUGGGGAUGUUGGAGUGUAAUUUUAGUUAACUCUUAUGAAAACAAUUUUUGUGGGUGCUAGAUUGC
rnacentral:lncRNA from 1 species